rnacentral:rRNA from 1 species
GACGAACGCUGGCGGCGUGCCUAAUACAUGCCAGUAGAACGCUGAAGAGAGGAGCUUGCUCUUCUUGGAUGAGUUGCGAACGGGUGAGUAACGCGUAGGUAACCUGCCUUGUAGCGGGGGAUAACUAUUGGAAACGAUAGCUAAUACCGCAUAACAAUGGAUGACACAUGUCAUUUAUUUGAAAGGGGCAAUUGCUCCACUACAAGAUGGACCUGCGUUGUAUUAGCUAGUAGGUGAGGUAAUGGCUCACCUAGGCGACGAUACAUAGCCGACCUGAGAGGGUGAUCGGCCACCCUGGGACUGAGACACGGCCCAGACUCCUACGGGAGGCAGCAGUAGGGAAUCUUCGGCAAUGGGGGCAACCCUGACCGAGCAACGCCGCGUGAGUGAAGAAGGUUUUCGGAUCGUAAAGCUCUGUUGUAAGUCAAGAACGGGUGUGAGAGUGGAAAGUUCACACUGUGACGGUAGCUUACCAGAAAGGGACGGCUAACUACGUG